rnacentral:misc_RNA from 1 species
CAUGGCGUCUCACCUAUCCCACCAAAUCUUGGGUAAGGAGAGGAUGAUGGCCUCCCAUGUCACACCAGGCGUGGAUGGCUUAAAAAAGGAGCCUUGGGUUACUAGAUGCCCCGUGGCAAUAGGUGGUAUAAGCAUGUUGCUGUGGGAUAAGUAGCUUAAUUGGCUCGUAAGACCCUUUCAUAACCUUU